UAGGGAAUCUUCGGCAAUGGACGGAAGUCUGACCGAGCAACGCCGCGUGAGUGAAGAAGGUUUUCGGAUCGUAAAGCUCUGUUGUAAGAGAAGAACGAGUGUGAGAGUGGAAAGUUCACACUGUGACGGUAACUUACCAGAAAGGGACGGCUAACUACGUGCCAGCAGCCGCGGUAAUACGUAGGUCCCGAGCGUUAUCCGGAUUUAUUGGGCGUAAAGCGAGCGCAGGCGGUUAGAUAAGUCUGAAGUUAAAGGCUGUGGCUUAACCAUAGUACGCUUUGGAAACUGUUUAACUUGAGUGCAGAAGGGGAGAGUGGAAUUCCAUGUGUAGCGGUGAAAUGCGUAGAUAUAUGGAGGAACACCGGUGGCGAAAGCGGCUCUCUGGUCUGUAACUGACGCUGAGGCUCGAAAGCGUGGGGAGCAAACAGGAUUAGAUACCCUGGUAGUCCACGCCGUAAACGAUGAGUGCUAGGUGUUGGGUCCUUUCCGGGACUCAGUGCCGCAGCUAACGCAUUAAGCACUCCGCCUGGGGAGUACGACCACAAGGUUG
rnacentral:rRNA from 1 species